UUGUGCCUUAGGUUGAAUAUACUUUAAUUCCGCGCAACGGUUGUUUAUCACGUCAUAAUAUAGGAAAUUACGUCACAAUCGCUACUAUCGCUUUGAAUAACCUCCUGUAGUUACCGCGUCGCUUUCGCUAAUAUUGUUACGUCAUAGUUAGGUCAUCGCUGCUGGUCAACACUCGCCCUUGACGUCACAAUACGGUUUGUUCUACGUAUGCGUUUCGCGAUUUUUAUCAUGGGGCCCCAUGCGCGUUUUGCGUCGACGCAAGGCACAUUACUUGUAUAUUCUAAUUAAAUUUGCCCUAUGAGCGCGAAGCAAGAAGAUCAACGAAUUGGUAACGUAUAAAUCACAGUUGGCAUUAUUACGUACAUAAGCUCUUUUCUAGAAACAUCGAUGAUGUGACGUUACGAAGUGGUGAUGACGCAACAGAAGAACCCACUUCAAUAUGGUAUGUGACGUCACAGAGAAUCAAGCGGGCCAUGUGGCACGGAAGAAGAAUGAAGAAAAGUCAAAUAAAGCUGCCGAAGAAAAGCGCAAGCGAAAAACAAAGACGAAGACGACAUAAAAGGGAUACACGGUUUGAGGUUUACGUAUAUAUUAUAAGUAUGAGUCGUGUGUUGUAUGUGUGUCUUGUCUGCGCUGCUGUAUUCUUGUUCUGCUGGGUCUAAUGUUGCCAGCUAUUUUUAGUCAGUCACUACUUUAGUGCAUUUUGCAUGUCUAUGAAAUAUAUGCAACGAAACUAUGACGAAUAUCUUGCUGAAUCGGAUUUUGUUGUUGUACACUCUAUUGGGUACUUCCUCUACAAAGGUCGAAUCCUUCGGCGAUUCUGCAUUUUUCUGAUCGAUUGGUGAGAACGCUGUCUUGCUACACAAAUACUCGAGCAAUAUUAACACGCAGUAUAAUAUGCGCAUAAUUAAAGUUCAUAAUUUAAACUAUACCCCAUCCCGAUAAAACAAAACUACUAUAACUUUAUAUUAAAACGUCAUGUAGCGUGAUUGGGACGAUGGCCACGUCACAGUUACGCUACGACGUCGUUACGGUGGGUCAGAGCAUUGUCCUGACCCUGCGUUCGAUGCGGUUACGUCAGUUUCGAUUGAGUUACGUCACGGUCAGGUUGUUGCGUGGGCGUCGCCGCCAGUGAUGCUACGCUAGAUAUUUAGGUCACUGUCAAUGCGGUUCGUAACAACCUGAUGCAGUUUCGUAGCAGUCGUUGCGGUGCGUAACAUCCGGACGUUAUUAUACAGCGUGAAGAUACGACUAGAGUAUCGCGGUACCAACAUGUCGACUUACCCUUUGAUUGGAACAUACGGAGCUGUUGUUGUUUUCGACUCCUUGUGGUCAAACAUUCAAUAUGGUGUACACACUUCAGAUGAUUAUUCUUUAGGAUUUGAACCAUAUUUUGUUUGUAGAUGUUUCAAUGAUUAUGUUCGCGUUUAUUAACUUUUGACUAUGUCCCUUUUUGUAUGAUUGAGCUGUUAGGUUUGUUGCAUGUUUGGCACAUGUAUGUCGCUGCACUCGUUGUACUAUUUUUGUCUUUUUGUUGGUGUGUUUUUUGUUGUGCACAUUUUCUAAUGUGCCUUCGUUGUAUUAUUUUUGUCUAUGGGGGUUUCUUUAACCUGCGUGGACAGUAACAUCCCGCAAGGGUUUCU